GUAGGGAAUAUUGGUCAAUGGGUGGAAGCCUGAACCAGCCAUGCCGCGUGCAGGAAGACGGCCUUCUGGGUUGUAAACUGCUUUUAUCUGGGGAUAAAAUUCCCUUGCGAGGGAGACUGAAGGUACCAGAUGAAUAAGCCACGGCUAACUACGUGCCAGCAGCCGCGGUAAUACGUAGGUGGCAAGCGUUGUCCGGAUUCAUUGGGUUUAAAGGGUGCGUAGGCGGCCAUUUAAGUCAGUGCUGAAAUAUCACAGCUUAACUGUGAGGGUGGCAUUGAUACUGGGUGGCUUGAGUGCUAGCGAGGCAGGCGGAAUUGACGGUGUAGCGGUGAAAUGCUUAGAUAUCGUCAAGAACACCGAUAGUGUAGACAGCUUGCCAGGGAGCAACUGACGCUGAGGCACGAAAGUGUGGGGAUCAAACAGGAUUAGAUACCCUGGUAGUCC
rnacentral:rRNA from 1 species